GGCAGGCUUAACACAUGCAAGUCGAACGAACUCUUCGGAGUUAGUGGCAGACGGGUGAGUAACGCGUGGGAAUAUACCUUUCGGUACGGAACAACAGUUGGAAACGACUGCUAAUACCGUAUGCGCCCUAUGGGGGAAAGAUUUAUCGCCGAAGGAUUAGCCCGCGUUGGAUUAGCUAGUUGGUGGGGUAAAGGCCUACCAAGGCGACGAUCCAUAGCUGGUCUGAGAGGAUGAUCAGCCACACUGGGACUGAGACACGGCCCAGACUCCUACGGGAGGCAGCAGUGGGGAAUAUUGGACAAUGGGGGCAACCCUGAUCCAGCCAUGCCGCGUGAGUGAUGAAGGCCCUAGGGUUGUAAAGCUCUUUCAGCGAGGAGGAUAAUGACGUUACUCGCAGAAGAAGCCCCGGCUAACUUCGUGCCAGCAGCCGCGGUAAUACGAAGGGGGCUAGCGUUGUUCGGAAUCACUGGGCGUAAAGCGCACGUAGGCGGAUUGGUCAGUUAGGGGUGAAAUCCCAGAGCUCAACUCUGGAACUGCCUUUAAUACUGCCAGUCUUGAGUCCGAGAGAGGUGAGUGGAACUCCGAGUGUAGAGGUGAAAUUCGUAGAUAUUCGGAAGAACACCAGUGGCGAAGGCGGCUCACUGGCUCGGUACUGACGCUGAGGUGCGAAAGCG
rnacentral:rRNA from 1 species